UCGGAGACCCCGGCGGAACCAGCACAGGUUCCAGGUUUGGGAGUCUCCGGCUUGAAUCCAGAUGCGCAUCGCUGUGAAGACAAAAGACUCACCCCCUUCCUCCACGCUUCCUAAAGGUCACCCCGAAUGUAUGCUCGCCGGGGGGCCGCCCGCAAAAGCACGAGUAAUGCUGGAGGCUUCCUCCUAGAGCAGUCUUUUCAAAAGGACCCCAACCUCUGCUCCUGGGUCCUGAAUGAGCAGGAACCACAUAAAAAAAAAUGGCCAGAAGGUUGAGAACCACUGCGCGCUCAGAGGAAGAAGUAGCAGCGAUGAUGAAACAUGACCUGAGAGAUCCUGCUACUAACCUGCCUCAUGCUAAAGCCCAGUCAGCCCAGGACCAGCAGGAAGAAGUCUGCGAUCCACUAAGAAUGGCUACUGGACUUGGCUAAAGUCUGCACAUCUUCACUGACCCAAACCCACACUGAGAACAAAUUGGG